rnacentral:rRNA from 1 species
AUUGAACGCUGGCGGCAGGCCUAACACAUGCAAGUCGAACGGCAGCGGGGGAGAAGCUUGCUUUUCCUGCCGGCGAGUGGCGAACGGGUGAGUAAUACAUCGGAACGUGCCCAGUUUUGGGGGAUAAUUGCUGGAAAGAGCAGCUAAUACCGCAUACGACCUGAGGGGGAAAUGGGGGAACGGCAAGGCCUCAUGCUUAAGGCGCGGCCAAUGUCUGAUUAGCUAGUUGGAGGGGUAAAGGCCUACCAAGGCGACGAUCAGUAGCUGGUCUGAGAGGACGAUCAGCCACACUGGGACUGAGACACGGCCCAGACUCCUACGGGAGGCAGCAGUGGGGAAUUUUGGACAAUGGGCGAAAGCCUGAUCCAGCAAUGCCGCGUGUGUGAAGAAGGCCUUCGGGUUGUAAAGCACUUUUGUCCGGAAAGAAAUGGCUCUGGUUAAUACCUGGGGUCGAUGACGGUACCGGAAGAAUAAGGACCGGCUAACUACGUGCCAGCCGCCGCCGUAACAC